CAGCAGCCGCCGCGGUAAAACGUAGGUGGCAAGCGUUGUCCGGAAUUAUUGGGCGUAAAGGGCUCGCAGGCGGUUCCUUAAGUCUGAUGUGAAAGCCCCCGGCUCAACCGGAGAGGGUCAUUGGAAACUGGGAAACUUGAGUGCAGAAGAGGAGAGUGGAAUUCCACGUGUAGCGGUGAAAUGCGUAGAGAUGUGAAGGAACACCAGUGGCGAAGGCGACUCUCUGGUCUGUAACUGACGCUGAGGAGCGAAAGCGUGGGGAGCGAACAGGAUUAGAUACCCCAGUAGUCCCUGUCUCUUAUAC
rnacentral:rRNA from 1 species